rnacentral:rRNA from 1 species
AACGAACGCUGGCGGCAUGCCUAACACAUGCAAGUCGAACGAGACCUUCGGGUCUAGUGGCGCACGGGUGCGUAACGCGUGGGAAUCUACCCUUGGGUUCGGAAUAACAGUUAGAAAUGACUGCUAAUACCGGAUGAUGACGUAAGUCCAAAGAUUUAUCGCCCAAGGAUGAGCCCGCGUAAGAUUAGCUUGUUGGUGGGGUAAUGGCCUACCAAGGCGACGAUCCUUAGCUGGCCUGAGAGGAUGAUCAGCCACACUGGGACUGAGACACGGCCCAGACUCCUACGGGAGGCAGCAGUGGGGAAUAUUGGACAAUGGGCGAAAGCCUGAUCCAGCAAUGCCGCAUGAGUGAUGAAGGCCUUAGGGUUGUAAAGCUCUUUUACCAGGGAUGAUAAUGGCAGUACCUGGAGAAUAAGCUCCGGCUAACUCCGUGCCAGCCGCCGCGGUAA